rnacentral:rRNA from 1 species
AGGUGGUGCAUGGCUGUCGUCAGCUCGUGCCGUAAGGUGUUGGGUUAAGUCCAGCAACGACCGCAAACCUCGUGUUUAGUUGCCAAUGUGCGGCCCGACCGAGUUCAGCCCGGGCGAGUUAAGAACCAGCUGCAGCACGGCUGCGUGACCAGGCUGGACGCGGAUUU